UAGGGAAUCUUCCACAAUGGACGCAAGUCUGAUGGAGCAACGCCGCGUGAGUGAAGAAGGUUUUCGGAUCGUAAAGCACUGUUGUUGGUGAAGAAGGAUAGAGGCAGUAACUGGUCUUUAUUUGACGGUAAUCAACCAGAAAGUCACGGCUAACUACGUGCCAGCAGCCGCGGUAAUACGUAGGUGGCAAGCGUUGUCCGGAUUUAUUGGGCGUAAAGCGAGCGCAGGCGGAAUGAUAAGUCUGAUGUGAAAGCCCACGGCUCAACCGUGGAACUGCAUCGGAAACUGUCAUUCUUGAGUGCAGAAGAGGAGAGUGGAAUUCCAUGUGUAGCGGUGGAAUGCGUAGAUAUAUGGAAGAACACCAGUGGCGAAGGCGGCUCUCUGGUCUGCAACUGACGCUGAGGCUCGAAAGCAUGGGUAGCGAACAGG
rnacentral:rRNA from 1 species